rnacentral:rRNA from 1 species
CCUACGGGAGGCAGCAGUGGGGAAUAUUGCACAAUGGGGGAAACCCUGAUGCAGCGACGCCGCGUGAGUGAAGAAGUAUUUCGGUACGUAAAGCUCUAUCAGCAGGGAAGAAAAUGAUGGUACCUGACUAAGAAGCCCCGGCUAACUACGGGCCAGCAGCCGCGGUAAUACGUAGGGGGCAAGCGUUAUCCGGAUUUACUGGGUGUAAAGGGAGCGUAGACGGCAGCGCAAGUCUGGAGUGAAAUCCCAUGGCUUAACCAUGGAACUGCUUUGGAAACUGUGCAGCUAGAGUGCAGGAGAGGUAAGCGGAAUUCCUAGUGUAGCGGUGAAAUGCGUAGAUAUUAGGAGGAACACCAGUGGCGAAGGCGGCUUACUGGACUGUAACUGACGUUGAGGCUCGAAAGCGUGGGGAGCAAACAGGAUUAGAUACCCCAGUAGUC